rnacentral:misc_RNA from 1 species
GAAAUGCGAUAAGUAAUGUGAAUUGCAGAAUUCAGUGAAUCAUCGAAUCUUUGAACGCACAUUGCGCCCCCUGGUAUUCCGGGGGGCAUGCCCGUUCGAGCGUCAUUACACCACUCCAGCCUCGCUGGGUAUUGGGCGUCUUCGCGGGGGAGCAAUCCCCCGCGCGCCUCAAAGUCUCCGGCUGAGCGGUCCCGUCUCGCAGCGUUGUGGCAUCACGUCUCGCUCUGAGCUCGGGCUCCUCACGGCCGUUAAAUCACACCUCAGGUUGACCUCGGAUCGGGUAGGGAUACCCGCUGAACUUAA